GACGAACGCUGGCGGCGUGCUUAACACAUGCAAGUCGAACGGAAAGGCCCUGCUUUUGUGGGGUGCUCGAGUGGCGAACGGGUGAGUAACACGUGAGUAACCUGCCCUUGACUUUGGGAUAACUUCAGGAAACUGGGGCUAAUACCGGAUAGGAGCUCCUGCUGCAUGGUGGGGGUUGGAAAGUUUCGGCGGUUGGGGAUGGACUCGCGGCUUAUCAGCUUGUUGGUGGGGUAGUGGCUUACCAAGGCGUUGACGGGUAGCCGGCCUGAGAGGGUGACCGGCCACAUUGGGACUGAGAUACGGCCCAGACUCCUACGGGAGGCAGCAGUGGGGAAUAUUGCACAAUGGGCGGAAGCCUGAUGCAGCAACGCCGCGUGCGGGAUGACGGCCUUCGGGUUGUAAACCGCUUUCGCCUGUGACGAAGCGUGAGUGACGGUAAUGUGUUAAGAAGCACCGGCUAACUACGUG
rnacentral:rRNA from 1 species